rnacentral:rRNA from 1 species
UACGGAGGGUGCAAGCGUUAUCCGGAUUCACUGGGUUUAAAGGGUGCGUAGGUGGGUUGGUAAGUCAGUGGUGAAAUCCCCGAGCUUAACUUGGGAACUGCCAUUGAUACUAUCAAUCUUGAAUACCGUGGAGGUCAGCGGAAUAUGUCAUGUAGCGGUGAAAUGCUUAGAUAUGACAUAGAAUACCAAUUGCGAAGGCAGCUGGCUACACGAAUAUUGACACUGAGGCACGAAAGCGUGGGGAUCAAACAGG